AUUGAACGCUGGCGGCAGGCCUAACACAUGCAAGUCGAACGGUAACAGGAAACAGCUUGCUGUUUCGCUGACGAGUGGCGGACGGGUGAGUAAUGUCUGGGAAACUGCCUGAUGGAGGGGGAUAACUACUGGAAACGGUAGCUAAUACCGCAUAACGUCGCAAGACCAAAGAGGGGGACCCUCGGGCCUCUUGCCAUCCGAUGUGCCCAGAUGGGAUUAGCUUGUUGGUGGGGUAACGGCUAACCAAGGCGACGAUCCCUAGCUGGUGUGAGAGGAUGGCCAGCCAACAUGGAACUAGGACAAGGUCCAGACUCCUACGGGGGGCCGCAGUGGGGAAUAUUGCACCAUGGGGGGAAGCCUGAUGAAGCCAUGCCGCGUGUAUGAAGAAGGACUUCGGGUUGUAAAGUACUUUCAGCGGGGAGGAAGGGAGUAAAGUUAAUACCUUUGCUCAUUGACGUUACCCGCAGAAGAAGCACCGGCUAACUCCGUG
rnacentral:rRNA from 1 species